UACGUAUGGAGCAAGCGUUAUCCGGAUUUACUGGGUGUAAAGGGAGCGCAGGCGGCUUUGCAAGUCUGAUGUGAAAGGCCGGGGCUCAACCCCGGGACUGCAUUGGUAACUGUAAAGCUAGAGUACCGGAGAGGUAAGCGGAAUUCCUAGUGUAGCGGUGAAAUGCGUAGAUAUUAGGAGGAACACCAGUGGCGAAGGCGGCUUACUGGACGGCGACUGACGCUGAGGCUCGAAAGCGUGGGGAGCAAACAGG
rnacentral:rRNA from 1 species